AUUUAGUGUAAAAUGUCAACAAAAAUAUUCAAUAAUUAAAAUAAUAUAAAAUAAUAGAUCAAGCAACACAUCAGUUUGCUUUUUAGCGUUGAACUUUUGAGAGUACUUAUAAUAAAAUAAAAGAUAAUGUGAAUGGCCAAUAUGUGGAUGUUUUCCAUCAGGAAUAAUUCUUAUUAUAACAGAUAAGUGGUAACGAUUUGGCUCUAAUAAAAAAAAAUCCAUAGACAGUGGAAAUGUUUAGUGGUGAAAGCCGCUUUAUGAUUUAAAUGAACAAAUUAUUAUUUACAAUUUGGAAAACGAUUUAUUAUGUUUGUAGCAACGACUGACAAUGUUAAGUAACGGCUGUUACCAAAGCUGCUGUUUUGAUUUUAAACCAUCUAUCUCAAAUUUGUUUUAGAAUGUAGGUUUUUCAUAUGUUGAAUCCACUUGUUGACGUAUGUAAUGCUGUUAAUAUAUGAGGAAAACUAACAA